AGAGGAGGAGCUUGAGGAAAGCGCUUCUUACGCACGUGUUUGCAGACUUACCUGAGGGUCCCAGGCGUGAGUCCGCAGGUAUGUGACCGAUUGGAAGACAGCAUGUGUUAAAGAGGUGUUACUCGCCCUCGUGAGCCCUAAACAAGUUAAGUGGGGUUCGUGCUUAAGUACGGGUAGUUCAUAGAUACAGCAAAAAAAAAAAAAAAAAAAAAAAAGUCACAUUCCCAGCUCUCCAUGAGGACUUUUGCAAAGAAUAAACAUUUCUAUUUGUACAAGACGCAUCAAAGGCUACAAAGAUUAAUAAAAUGGAAGACAAUUCUUGCCCCUAAACAGCUUUCAAUAGAACAUGAGAAGCAGACAAUCUGCAUAUACACAGGAAACCGUAAAGCAGAAUUUGAAAUAAAACCAGUCGUACAAACUGUUAGAGAACUGCACAAAUGGCAAUAAUUAUUCUCAGUAGAGGAGCUGGGCAGGCUCUGAGGGCAAGAAGAGAUUUGAGAUAACCAACUUAAAGGAUAGGUGAGAUAGAAAUACCAGCAUCAAAUAUUUCACACAGAGAUGGUAACUGUGAGCAUAGACCUGGACAUAGAGAAGGCAAGGGUGGGUUAAGUGAUUAAGGUUGAGUGGAAGUAAGAGACAGGGCUAAAAAAGGUAAAGUUCAUUAAGAUAACAGAAAACCUUGACUACAGUGCUAAGCAGUGCAGAUUUUAUUUAUUUAUUUCAAAGAGUGGCUACAAUAUCAAGCUAUUCUCUUGGAAGUUGUUACAGUGGUUAGAUGAACUAAAGGGAGGAGGAUAAAGAUGGCAGAACAAGAACACUGUUCCAAAGAUAGAACUUAUGGGAAUUUCUGGCAGUGGAUAGAUAAUGUGGAAAGGAGAGGGUUAAAGAAACAAAAUAAGAUAUAAUUCACACAGAAGUGAAUUUUUAAGCUAAGCCUGGAUUAGAUCAGGAGGAAAGAAAACUUUUUCCGUAAAGUGCCACAUAGUAAGUAGUUAAUUUAGGCUUUGCAGACCAUGUGGUCUCUUUCAAAACUAUUCCCCUCCCCUAUUGCAGCAUGAAGGCAGUCAUAAACAAUAAGUAAACUAGUGGAUAUGGCUGUGUUCCAAUAAAACUUUAUUAAUGGACAUUGAAAUUUAAUUUUCACGUGAUGAUAUAUUUUAAUUCUUUUCAAAUAUUUAAAAAUAUAAUAAAAAUGUUUCUCAGCUCUUGUGCCAUUAAAAAAAAAAAAAAAACAGGCAGGGGAAAUCAGAUUUGGCCUGCAGACUCUAGCUUGCAGGCCCCUGAAUUAGGUUGCCAUUAAAGAGGAAGUAAAGAAGCCUCAGCAGCAACUUCAAGUUGCCUCAGCUUCCUGGACUCACCUGCCUGGAACAUUCAUCCCACUAAACCAUGACUGCCUGCCUACUUGACCUUCUCCUCCACCAGUAGCAUGCUGUUUGGAGCUAGAGAAGGACUGUGUGCAACUGUUCAUUUGUUCACUCAACAUCUUCUACACCAGUUAUGAACCAAGUACUGUGAUGGAUGCUAGAGGCACAGUGGGAGCAAAUCAGAUAUAAUCCUUACUCUUAUACAGCAUAUGGUCUAGAAAUGAAAAUAAGUAUCAAAUAAUCAUAUAAGGAAUGUAAACUUCCCACUGUUGCUGUAAAAGAAAAGUACAAGGCGCCACAAUAGACUAUAUCAGGGGGACCUAACUUAGGUUGGAGGAAGUCGAAGGCCCUUAUAAGGAAGUAUUGUAUAAGCUGAUUCUUUAAAGAUGAAUACGUUUUAACCAGGAUGUGGCAGAGACUGGCCUGAUGCUCACCAGUCUCGUUUCCUCUUCCUGGACACACAGGAAAAGUAUAUUUUUUCCCUUUGCAGUUAGGCUAGGGUCAUGUGACUGUGAUCUGGCCAAUGGGGUGUGGGCAGAGAUGAAGUGUACCAUUUCCAGGGCUGGCCCCAUGCUUCAUCGAUCACACCCUCUUCUUUCCCCACAGCAGCUACAAAGGUCACAGGUUGAAUAGGAGCAUGCCACACUUUAGACGAACCCUGCACCCCUGAGUCUGUACUUGAAGAGCCACCCUGACCUACAGCCGACUGAGAUGUGAGCAAUAAAUAAAUCUUUUUAGGCAUAAGCUACUUAGAUAUUGACGUUGUUUGCUACCAAAGUAUGUGUUACCAAUUGUCCUACUGACAAUUUUGUAAGUUGUGGGGAGAAGAUUCAGGAAGACGCAGAUGCAAAAUUCUGAGACUGGCAAAGAGCCUACUGUAUUUUAGGGAUUGAGCAGAAGCAAAUUCAGGCAUAACACAGGAAGCAAGGGAUGAGGUGAGACAGAGACCCAGUCAUGAAGUUUGUGGUAGGCCUGUUAAUCAUUUGGGAGUUUUUCUUGUGUGGCAUCAGAGGCAAUGGAAAGAAUUUAAAUGGGCGAAUGAUAUAAUUGGGGUAGUAUUUUCAAAAGGUCACUGUUUAGUGUUUGGAGACUGGGCUGGAGAAUGCAAUCAGGGAUAUAGGGAGACCAGUUAGGAAGUGAUUACAAUAGUCUGGGCAAAAGAUGAUAGUAGGUGGUGUCGAUACAAAAAAGAAGAGGAAGUUGUCUAGAUAUAUAUUUUGGACUCCAUGAAGGAUUGAUUUCAUGGGUGGGGAUUAAACGGGUGCAUGAAACGACACCAAAGUUUCUAGCAGGUGCAACUGGGUGGAUGGAAGUGGGCGAUGGUACUGUAAUGAGAUGGGUAAAUUAAUGGAAGAGCACAUUACAGAGAGAAUAUCCAGACUUUAAUUUUGAGACUUUCAGUGCCAACAUUAAGUAUCUAUGUGGACAUAUGAGCCUGGAGUUCUGCAGAGAGAGGUCCAGGAUAGAGAUACAAAUUUAGGUAUCACUGGCCUAUAUUGAUGGUAUUGGAGGCCGAGGUAUGAAUAAGAUUCCCUGGGGAGAGAAUAUGCAAAAGGAAGAGAAGAGGAGCCCAGGACUGAAGUCUAGGAAUGUCAACAAUGAGACGUUGCAAUAAGAAGGGGGGAGCCAGAACAGUAGAAGAAAAACCCAGAGGUUUGUAUCUUGGAAACCAAAGUGUUUCAAGAGGGAAGGAGCAGCCAGCUGAGUUACAGGCCCUGAGAGGUCACGUAUGAUGAAAUCUUGGAAAGAUCCCAUAAAUUCACCAGCUUGGAUGUCACUGAUGACAAAAUCCAAAGUGAUUUAGAGCAAAUGGGAGGUGUAAGAGUACAGCAGUAUACAGGGACAUCUUUUCAAGGAGUUUGCCUCUGAAGGAAAAUAAAGAAGGAAGGCCCUAGCUGGAUGGCUCCAGGGAGAUUUUUUUUUUUAACUUUUAAUUUUCAGAUAAUUUUUAAAUUGCAGAUCAGUUGCAAAACCAAUACAGAGUUGCCACAUACCCUCCAUCCAGCUUUCCCUAAUGUUGAUAUGAAACAUACCAUAGUUCACUCAUCAAGUGAGAAAUUACCAUUGGUACAAGAUUACCAAAAAAACUACAGACUCUACAGAUUUCACCACUUUUCUCAUAAAAAUUUUAAAAUGUUUUUUAAAUGGUUGAAGAAUAAGUAAAAUAAGAGUAUAACCAGGACAUGAUUAUGCGAGAUUUACAUUUCAAUGUACCAGCAUCGAAUCCGUUUUCCUACAUUAUAUUUAGUGGUCGUGGUUUUUAAGUCUCCUACUUGUAGCAGUUCCUCGGUCUUUCCUUGCCUUUCAUGACCUUAACUCUUGAAAUGUCAUGGUCAAGUAGUUUUGAAGAAUGCCCUUUGAUUUGGAUUUGUCCAAUGUUCUGUUUCUGAUUAAAUUGAAGUUACACAUUUGGGCAAGAGGACCAGAGAGGUGACAUGCUUUGUCAAUUCAUCAUAUCAAGGGUACAAGCAGUUUAUAUUCUUAGUAUUUGUAAUGUCAGCCUUGAACACUUGGUUAAAGUGCUGUUUGCCAGAUUUCUCUUAAGUUAUUAUUUUCCCAUUGUAAGUAAUAGAUAUUGUAAUUUGAGAUACUUUUAGACUAUGCAAAUAUCCAGUUUCUCUUUAAACUUCCACCCACUGAUUUUAGCAGCCACUUGGAUGGAUCUUGCCUAUAGCAGUUAUGGAUCUUGCCUAUAGCAGUUAUGACUGUGAUAUUCGAAUGGUAAUUUUCUAGUCGAUUGUUUUUUAAGAUGAGAAGUACUGGAACUUGUUUGGAUGGUGAUGGGGGAGAGGUUGGAGAAUCGAUGAAGAGAAUCUCUGAAAAAGUGGAUGAGGCUGGGAGCCUGAGCUGGCUGAGAGGCUUGCCUUUGAUGGGAGGAAGCCCCAAGUCCUUUACUGUGGCAAGAGAGAGGGAAGAGGGGCUGGCGGCAGACAUGGACCAGCUGAUGGACGUGGGGGUGUCUUGGUCAUCUCAUCUCAGUAUCUCUGGCCUCUAGCAUUGGCCCUUGCCCAAAGUGGGCUUUCAAUAAAUGUUUGUUGAAUGAAUGAGAAAAAGUAGAAAAUCUACAUUUAAGGAGUAGGUAUAAAAAGAAUAGGCAAUUGUGAGUGUAAUCUCACUAAAGCAGGAAUAGGCCCUAUGAGCGGAUCCUACUUGUAAAAACUACUCAGAUGUACACACAUGUAGCAGAGAUUCAAGAGCUGUGCUGAGGGGCAGGGGAGAUGGGAUGAGAUGGAUUUGGGAUCUGAAGAGAGUGGACACAGUUUAGAUCAGGCGCCGUGGAAAACAAAUAUUGUGAACCAGCUUGAAUGAUCACUGAGUGGCACUGGGGACUCAGGUGGCCUAAGAAAGCCUAAAUCGGGACAGUUAAAUGUCCCUAUCUAGCAACUUACAGUCCUCCUCGGGUUUGGAGACUAGCUGCUGAACAACAACCUGGUUGAAACAAGUGACCCUGGAGCUCCCGCUAGAUGCGAAGGCGGUGAAGCCAGGAGUAAACCAGUGAUCGGGGAGAAGAGGAUGGCAUCCAGGAGCUGGAGCUGACCUUGAUGCCUCAAACAGCCAUUCUCAACCUUGGCUGCACAUUGGAAUCCCCUGGGAUACUUUAAAAAAAAAAACAAAAAACUCCCAUCCCUGAAAAAGUGUGAGUGAGUUGGUCUGAGGCAGGGCCUACACUUUGGUAUUUUUUUUUUUGAAAGCUCCCCAAGCGAUUAUGAUGUAGAACCAAUUUUGCAAUGUACACCUCUAAUGAUGACCAUUAGAGCAGCGGAUGCUAAGUUAGAGCAAGUUGAAGUUUUAAAAUAAUGGCAGGUAAUGAUGAUGCCGGAUAGGGUAGGAGGAAAAAUUAUAAGUCAGUGGCUGAAAAAUGUCAAAUAAAAUAGUGGGUGGGGCUUAACCGAUUAGAUAGUGCUGUGAGAGGGUGGCUUGGAAUCAAAGGCAGAAACAAAGGGGCUGAGAUAAUGGACAGAGGUCUGGAUGUACCUGCCGGAAUUGAGGAAAACAUCCCUGCUCCCUCCUGCUCUGAGUUAUGGACAAGAAGGGAGGGUGAGCCUGUCCAUGAAAAGGCCGGGAAAGGGAAGGCAUCUAGAGGAAAAUCAGGUUUCUGCUAAGGCUGGGAAGAGUCACAGAGGAAGAAGCUUGAAAAUAGGUUUGUUCCCCUUAGCAACAGUCUUUCACCAGGCUUGUCGGUACCUGGUGCCGGAAGGAGGUUCCCUGCUCAUCCGUUAUCUCGUGGGCCUGUGUCUGUGGCACCAGGCACGUGGUCAUCUUAUCCUUAACAUGGGGGUGUGGAGUGGGGCAGAAGCAAAGGAUCAGAGGACCUCACCAGGUGUGAGCCCUUAGGGCUUAAGGAUCCCAUUGGUCAUGCAACAGGAGCCAGACACUCCCCAUCUUUAGAUUUAAGAGAAUUAGGAGGGCCGUUCGCAUCACGGCUCAACAGUAACCAACCUGACUUGUAUCCAUGAGGAUGCAGAUUUGAUCCUGGCCUCGCUCCGUGGGUUAAGGAUCUGGCAUUGCCGUGAGCUGUGGAGUAGGUCGCAGACACAGCUCGGAUCUGGCGUGGCUGUGGCUAUGAUGUAGGCCGGCAGCGGCAGCUCCGAUUCGACCCCUAGCCUGGGAACUUCCAUGUGCUGCAGGUGUGGCCCUAAAAAGACCCCCCCCCAAAAAAAAUUAGGAAACUCCUGAAGCUUCCCACCUCAUAAUCCUCUUUAUUUGGCUCUGUCAAAACACUCAGAUGGGAGUUCCCGUCGUGGCGCAGUGGUGAACGAAUCCGACUAGGAACCUUGAGGUUGCGGGUUCAGUCCCUGCCCUUGCCCAGUGGGUUAAAGAUCCAGCGUUGCUGUGAGCUGUGGUGUAGGUUACACACGUGGCUCGGAUCUGGCGUGGCUGUGGCUAUGAUGUAGGCCGGCAGCGGCAGCUCCAAUUCGACCCCUAGCCUGGGAACCUCCAUAUGCCGCAGGAGCGGCCCAAGAAAUAACAAAAAG
rnacentral:lncRNA from 1 species